rnacentral:rRNA from 1 species
ACUCCUACGGGAGGCAGCAGUAGGGAAUCUUCCACAAUGGGCGCAAGCCUGAUGGAGCAACACCGCGUGAGUGAAGAAGGGUUUCGGCUCGUAAAGCUCUGUUGUUAAAGAAGAACACGUAUGAGAGUAACUGUUCAUACGUUGACGGUAUUUAACCAGAAAGUCACGGCUAACUACGUGCCAGCAGCCGCGGUAAUACGUAGGUGGCAAGCGUUAUCCGGAUUUAUUGGGCGUAAAGAGAGUGCAGGCGGUUUUCUAAGUCUGAUGUGAAAGCCUUCGGCUUAACCGGAGAAGUGCAUCGGAAACUGGAUAACUUGAGUGCAGAAGAGGGUAGUGGAACUCCAUGUGUAGCGGUGGAAUGCGUAGAUAUAUGGAAGAACACCAGUGGCGAAGGCGGCUACCUGGUCUGCAACUGACGCUGAGACUCGAAAGCAUGGGUAGCGAACAGGAUUAGAUACCCUGGUAGGAUAGAG